UGCAUAAAUACAUAAUCAUAACAAACAUGAAAAACAAACUUUACAUUAUCUCUCGAUUCUCAUGCCUCAGCCUCCCGAGUAGCUUGAACACAGCCCAGCUCAUUUGUUCAUAUAUUGUUUAUGUUUUCAUGCUACAGUGGCACUGUAAUCAUAAGGUUGUGUUCUACAGUCAUUGCAAGGACAUUAUUACCCAUGCUUUGCUGAAGCUAGAUAAUACCAAUAGAUGAAAUCUGUUGUCAGAUGGUAAGAGGAAAUGAGUCUAGGACACACUGAAGCAUAAUUAUGAGCGGUGUUACAAGCAGCGGGGAGGUGGGAUGAUCUGUGAUGGUGAUGAGCCAAGGAGGGUCCUGGCUCCAAGGCCCAGACAGGGUCCCCAAAUAAUGAGGUGAUCUACAGGAAGACAUUACUCUAAUUAAUGUAAUUAAGACUUUAUUUAUAGUCAUUUGGGCUACAUUGUCAGCAAACCAAUUUGCCCAAGGUGGUAAUGAUUCUCUCAGCUUUGGAAAAUGAUGCUGUAGGCGUUGGUGUAGGGAUGGGGGGCAGGGGAGGGUACAAUUUAGCUCUGCUUUGUCAAAUCUUUUUUUUUUUUUUCCUUUUUCCCUCUACCCUCCACCCUCAGAGGUUUAUGAGUGCUGGAAGAACAUUUAGUCCUGGAAAAAGGCAAUAUUUUAACUCUUC
rnacentral:lncRNA from 1 species